CUGGUAGGGUUGCAACAAAAUUAAAGACCAAAAUAACUUGUGUUCAAAGUUUGCAGGCAUAAAACGUGAUGUUACUUCAAGGUUUGGAUACAGACUUCAUAAAUAUUCAGGGCUGAAGGUCGCAAUGCAAAAUAUGUGGACGCAAUGGAGAGAGAAGAGGAAAUUACUUGUAGGUCAGCUGUAAUUGACAUAGAAGAGCCGAGGUCUGAGAAGAUUUGUAAGUCAGUGGAAUUUCUGCUUUGGAUGAAAUAACUCACGGUUGUAAAUCUAUGUGCUAGCACACUUCUUAAGCAAGAUACAGUACAGGGAAACUACAAAUAGUGUCUACGUUCCUUCUAUGUGGCUGAGAUUAGAAGACUGUUAACAAUAGAGAGUGGGAAAUCUGGGACUGGAACGUCAAGAACAAACCGCAGAAGAAGAGAUUGAGGAGCCCAAAACCAUACUCCGCACUUGAGGUGUGGCCUUACCAGUGCCAAGUACAGAGAGAUGAUCACCUCCUCGCUCCUGCUGGCCACACUAUUUUUGAUAUUUUUUGUAUAUUUUUGAUACAGAUGAAGAUCCCAUCGGCCUUCUUGGCAACCUGGCACCCUGCUGGCUCAUUUUCAGCAAGUUGUUGACCAGCACCUCCAGGACUAUUUCUGUCAAGCAACGUGUGAACCAGCCUUCCCCAAGCUUCGUUGUUUUGUUGCUACCCAAGUGCAGCACAUGACACUUAGCCUUGUUGAAUGUCAUUUUUAUUGGAUUUGGCCCAUUGAUCUAGUCCAUCCAGAUCCCUCUGCAAAGACUUCCU
rnacentral:lncRNA from 1 species